CGCUGAGCUAAAUCCCCAGGCCUGAAAAUCACUAUUUUUGAUUUUAAAGUUCUACAUGUCAGAAGCAAGUGGCUCAGUGCAGCCCCAAUUCCAGGAGAGAAGAAUGAAGCCUGCUCCCAGCACCCAGAGCAUCAAAGAAGUGGCACCCAGCUGGAAAAACCACCGCGUCUGUGGGAGAUGCCUUGACGCUGCACAGAUAGCCUUUUUCACCUGAAUUUUACUCAUUUUGUCAUUCCUCAAUGGAUUUGUCCUAUGACGAUUAUUACUGUGGUUUGGUUUGGUUUUUUGAGACAAGGUCUCUAUGUAGGCCAGGCUGGCCUGGAACUGAUGGUGUUCCUCCUGCUUCAGCCUCCUGGGUGCUGAAAUAUGGGUGCACAUCACUGCAUCCUGCGCCUAACUUAGGAUUCGGAGCAGAGGAACUGGACUAACUUGUGUUUUCCCUGUGUCGGUCUGGCUGGCCUGGCUGCUGCCUACGGCUGAGACUCGGGGAGGGUGCGUGUGGAAUCCAGGGAGAUGCGCAUGCGGUACCCUACCUGACAGGCGACAGUGGUCAGCUCAGGAGCCGGCCUGGCCCAGGCUGGGGACAGGAUGUGUCCAAGGUUGAAUCGACGGUUCUUGGGUGGUUGUUGCUGGCACCCUGGUUUCAGGGCAUGAGAAAAGGAGUCCAGGAGGACUCCCAGGUCCGGUGCAGCAGCAGGAAGUGUUGAGCCAUCACUCCCUAAAUGCAGAUGGCAGCAGCUGGUUUAGCGGGGCAGAGGUGGGAGGAUAGUUUGGAAUGGCUGAGUCCAAAUUCAGCCUCCAGGAAAAGCAUUUGGAAAUACACGCGUGGCGCUCAGGAUCCCGGUCUGGGAAAAUGGUCCGUCUCAGGCCUGGCUGGUGCCAAGGUGAGUAGAAUUCAGGUCUGAAAGCUCGAGGACAGGGCCCGCAGGGGGCAGCAGUUCUUCCAGUCGGGUCCGGGGAAGGACGCGCCUUUGGCCCCAGCCUGCCCUCCUCACUCCAGGGAUGAGAGCUCUCUCCCUCUCGCCCUCCCUCCCAGGCCGCACGGUGGGGCCCGCAUCUGGAUCCGCUCCGGGCGGCCUUGGGCACGUGGCUUCUUCGCCUCUAGGACCGCCAGGUACCGAGCCUGUAAAAUGAGGAAUGCAUUCCUUUCUCCCGGGUUAUCCCGGGAGAGCAGAACGACUUCCGCGCCCCUCACGCCACAGACGCCCCGCCAAGAGAGGAAGCGGUGACCCCUAGAGAGGAAGCGGCGGCUGCCCCAGCUCCCACCAGGCCAAGCUUGAGGCGCCCUCAGCAUGACUUGGACCUCGUCUUAGCCUCUCGUCCUUUCUACCCUCUAUAUCUCUGCCAGGUCUGUCCGCUCACUGCGACAGCACCUGAGCACCACAGCACUGGGAAACCACGCCAAGACUGAAGAGAAGGGAGCUCAAGCCUGCAGUCAGUGUUCCUCCAGGGUGAUGAGUUCAGCCAUGUGGCUGCGAGCUGAGUACACUGUGGCUUGUGCACGGCAGCCUGUUUCUAACUUCUGGCUCUCCUGGAUCUUUUGCCUCUCCCUAUAAACUAUGAUCAGUUUGUUGGCAUACA